rnacentral:rRNA from 1 species
UACGUAGGGUGCGAGCGUUGUCCGGAAUUAUUGGGCGUAAAGGGCUCGUAGGCGGUUUGUCGCGUCGGGAGUGAAAACCUUGGGCUUAACUCAGGGCUUGCUUUCGAUACGGGCAGACUAGAGGUAUGCAGGGGAGAGCGGAAUUCCUGGUGUAGCGGUGAAAUGCGCAGAUAUCGGGAGGAACGCCGGUGGCGAAGGCGGUUCUCUGGGCCUUACCUGACGCUGAGGAGCGAAAGCGUGGGGAGCGAACAGG